CUCCUGUUGACAGUAAGAAGCAUUGUACUUCUUGCUGCAUUCCCUGUGGUAUGGGCAGAUGGAUCUGAAAGUCAUCAGCGAGCAGUGAAAGUAAUGCAGAGAGGGGAAGUGCUGUGUCAGCGUGA